GAUGAACGCUGGCGGCGUGCCUAAUACAUGCCAGUCGAACGAACGGACGAGAAGCUUGCUUCUCUGAUGUUAGCGGCGGACGGGUGAGUAACACGUGGAUAACCUACCUAUAAGACUGGGAUAACUUCGGGAAACCGGAGCUAAUACCGGAUAAUAUUUUGAACCGCAUGGUUCAAAAGUGAAAGACGGUCUUGCUGUCACUUAUAGAUGGAUCCGCGCUGCAUUAGCUAGUUGGUAAGGUAACGGCUUACCAAGGCAACGAUGCAUAGCCGACCUGAGAGGGUGAUCGGCCACACUGGAACUGAGACACGGUCCAGACUCCUACGGGAGGCAGCAGUAGGGAAUCUUCCGCAAUGGGCGAAAGCCUGACGGAGCAACGCCGCGUGAGUGAUGAAGGUCUUCGGAUCGUAAAACUCUGUUAUUAGGGAAGAACAUAUGUGUAAGUAACUGUGCACAUCUUGACGGUACCUAAUCAGAAAGCCACGGCUAACUACGUG
rnacentral:rRNA from 1 species